CACGAGCUUCAUCGGGAAGCAGGGGUCACCAUAGAAAUGCCUCAUCUUGCAUUUUCUUCCCCCUGGCCUUUCUUCACUCCCUCUGCUCUGCUCUGCUCCAGGAUUGUGUCGCCUGAUGAAGUGUUAGUUCUUAAAGCCCUUUCCUCAGGCUCUGUUUCCUGGGGAACCUAAAGGAAGACCCUGGAGACUGAAAUUGUUCUAGAAAGCGGACCCUCAGGGUUUCAUUCUGGGAUGGAACUGCCCGCCCGUCUUAAAGACACAGACACCCCGUUCCUGAUGGCAUCAUGUGAACCUCUCUUUAGACAUAAAAUCAACAGUGGACAAAGGAAACAGCCUGAAAGCACAACCCCCUGUCGGCUACUGGGAGCUGAGGCCUGUGAAAGCCCGCGUUCCCGGCCGGGGCGGGCGCCAUGCAGGUACCAGCCUCAGUUCUUGCACACGGCCCGGCCCUGCAUUGACAGGGAGCUUCGAGGAAAGACAAGUUGGGUGCACUCAGCACUUGCCUAGAGCCUACUAAGUCCCAGGAGGGAGAAUUGUUUUCCGUUUGUUUGUAAAAUUUCAUUGCAUGCACAAUAAAAACAAUUGCCUUAACUCAGGCUAUUCCAUGCUCCUCGUGCACUGGACCUCGAUCUCAAGAGUAAGCCUGGCCGCAUUUAAUGGCUCCACUCGUUGAUGCAGCCCUGCUUUCUUCCAGACGCCGGCACUGUGCCUGGAAUUACCCGCCCUAAAUUUAUAACAGUUGUUGGGCACAUAUAACAUUCAUCUAUUUGGAUUGAACAAAGUGAAUGGACCAGACUAACGUCUACAUUGUUAGCCAAAUAUUGCCUGUCUGGAGAAACACAUCCUGCCUGGACCUCUGUCUCAGUUUUUUGUUUGCCUUACAAGGAACAUUGGUGGAAUUGAUAUAAAUGUUAUCUUCCUGUU